CUGCCACCCGCCGUCACUGCCGGCCUUGGCCUGCCACCUGUGCCCCAGUGGGGCCUCUGGUGGUGGGUGCUAAAAUGCCCACCUGCACUGCCCACAAGCAGCUUCUCAGGCCAAGUGCAGAGCCCCGAGGAGGGGAGGGGAACCCUGACUCCACCUUUGUAGGGUAGAAGCCAUAUCCUACACAUGAGAAUUCCAGACUUGCCUCUGAGAAGGUGGAUGACUAUGAACAUGUGGCAAAGUACAUGAAGAACACUCAAGUAAAGUUACCCUUGGGAACCUUAAGUAAAUCAGAAUGGGAAGCUACCAGUAUUUACGUGGUGUUUGCAUUUGAGAAGCAGCCGUAAGCACGUGUGCAGUAGCAUCAGAACAGCUGUUGCAUCCUUACGCAGUUGUGGAUGAUCCAUCUGAGAUAGACUGGACAACUUUCCGUUUGCUGCUUUUCAUUUCUAAAUGUGCAGAAUGCUGCCUGGAAACUCCAGCGGAUAAAUUUGACCCUGCCGUCUGUGACAGAUGAACAUUUGUGUGUGUGUGUGUGUGUGUGUGUGUGCGCGCGUGUGUAUGAGUGGGGACCUUUACAAAUCUUACUUGUACGUAAUGUCCUCAGGAGUCCAUUUGCCUGUACUGUCUUAGCUCAUCAAAAUUGUAAUAGUACAUGUAAGAGCUGCUGACAUCGUUCCACGGUGCUCUGAUUUCCUCACUGUUUCUUUACGGUAUUAAAGUUAUUGCAGUGGUGGAAUUGAUGAGGGAACACACUGGUUUGGGUGUGGGUGGGGUGCGGUGUGACCAUUUCUGUAUUUUUGUUAUUAUAUAUAAUGUUUUUCGAGAUCAAGUGGAUAGCAUUCUGUGCAGGCUAAUGUACGUCUUCAAUAUGUGUUGCUGAGUUGUGGUUAAAACAAUUUUGGGCUGUCAUAAAAGUCACUUACCUUGGAAUUUCAGCCAGUUGUGACUAGUCAUUAUAAAUAGCAACUGCCUUAUUUGCUGGUAUGAUGCAAUUCUGGAACUAAAUAGAACUUUUUAGAUCACAGCAUAUAAUCUUGUGGGUUGGGGGGUGGGGGGGGCGCGAGAAGGGCUUCUCUCAUACGAUAUCCCAAAAGAUUUAUAUUUCCAAGUGUGAAGACUGAUUUGUGUUACUUAUCUUCAUUGAACAAAACUGCUGUACUUCUCCUCGAUGUUAGAUCCAGGUUCCUGAUGCUACGUCCUUCUAGAUCCGUUGCCCCAUGCAGCCCAGAAAGAAGCCCUGCCUGUCCCUCUGUU